rnacentral:misc_RNA from 1 species
AAUCACCGCAAAAUUUUCAUACCAACUCCCAAUAUAUCCGUCCGCCACCUACUUCAAGCUACCGGGAAAAAUGGCGUCGGAAGCUCCGGCAACAGCAGUUAACUACUGGGGCGAUAUGCCGGAGGAAGAGUACUAUGCUUCUCAAGGAGUGCGCAACUCCAAAUCUUACUUCGACACACCCAACGGCAAGCUCUUCACUCAAUCAUUUCUCCCACUAGACCCAAAUGUGUCUCCUAAGGCCACUGUUUACAUGACCCAUGGAUAUGGCUCCGAUACCGGUUGGCUAUUUCAGAAGAUAUGCAUUAGUUACGCAAGUUGGGGUUAUGCUGUGUUUGCCGCGGAUCUGCUCGGACACGGCCGCUCCGAUGGAAUCCGAUGCUACGCUGGAGACUUGGAAAAGACCGCUGCUACUUCCUUGUGCUUUUUCAAAAGCGUGAGGAAUAGCGAUGAGUACAAGCAUUUGCCGGCGUUUCUGUUCGGGGAAUCUAUGGGUGGGCUUGCUACAUUGCUUAUGUACUUACAGUCGGAGCCGGAUACUUGGACCGGGUUGAUCUUCUCCGCCCCGCUUUUCGUCAUUCCCGAGCCUAUGAAGCCUUCUAAGGUACAUUUAUUCAUGUACGGACUGCUAUUUGGAUUUGCCGAUACAUGGGCUGCCAUGCCGGACAACAAGAUGGUGGGCAAGGCUAUCAGGGACCCUGAGAAGCUGAAAAUAAUUGCAAGCAAUCCCAGGAGAUACACCGGGAAACCAAGGGUUGGAACUAUGAGGGAGAUUGCCA